GCGGUUUGCGUUUGGCCAUCACUAUUUCCGUCCGCACGAAACGCAUCACUCCCCUUCUCGCAAGUUUUAUCACAACGAGCUCUUCCGGGUGCCGCUCUACGAAAUUAUCCCCUUGGAGGCCGUGGUGGGAACGUGCUGUGUUCUGGACCUCUACACCUACUGCAAAGGGAGGCCGAAAGGGGUGAAGGAGCAGGACGUGUACAUCUGUGAUUACCGCCUUGAUAAAUCAGCUCAUCUCUUCUACAAGAUCCACCGGAAUCGCUAUCCUGUCUGCACCAAGCCCUACGCCUUUGACCACUUCCCUAAGAAACUCACGCCCAAGAGAGACUUUUCACCCCAUUACGUACCAGACAACUACAAGAGAAAUGGAGGCAGGUGAG